UAGGGAAUCUUCGGCAAUGGACGAAAGUCUGACCGAGCAACGCCGCGUGAGUGAAGAAGGUUUUCGGAUCGUAAAACUCUGUUGGUAGAGAAGAACGUUGGUGAGAGUGGAAAGCUCAUCAAGUGACGGUAACUACCCAGAAAGGGCGCUAACUACGUGCCAC
rnacentral:rRNA from 1 species